AGCAGUUCGGAACAGUUGGAGCCCUUCUUAAUGUCCGUUUGAGCUCAAAUUUGACAGACAGGCUCAGUUUAACGUACUGAGUAAGAAUAUAUUUUAAGUUUUCAGUUUCGACCCCAUUUGGUCACCGAAAACUGUACCGAAUUGUAAUCUUUAUCAGAUAGCUGUCGGAUUUUAUUUCUCACUCUACGGGUGUCAGAAAAAUAUGAAACUUUAAAUCUAGCCUCAUAAAAAUAUUUCUGACUUAUUUUCCAAUUUUCAUAAUUUUCUGAGACUGUGCAUUUUCUGCUAAUUUAUCUGUCCCGUUUCCAACAGAAAAUUCUAGAUCUUCUGUUUUCAUUCCGAUUUCAGCACAAGUCACUUCUGACUUAUGUUUUACUUCUAUAAAUCCAAUAAAAAUAGUUCCUCACACUAUUUUUAUUUAUUUUUAUUUUUAUACCAAAAUCUGGU
rnacentral:lncRNA from 1 species